ACGGGAAUGAAAUGUCUUAAAUAUCUUGUUUCUUCCAAACUAAAUAAAAAAAAGUUUGGAAGAAAAAGAAUAUUUUCAUAGUACGUAAAUUUUAAAAUUAAAAGUACUUUAUGUUAAUUAAUUAAUAUUUUGUAAUAGAAGUUUAAUUUAUUUUUUUAAAAUUUAAAAAUAGACUUUUAAAAAAUUCUGGCGAAGCCUGUGCCAGCCGCCGCGGUUAUACAGGCAGGAUAAUAGUAUUUGCUUUAAUUAAAUAUUAAUGUUAGUUUUAAUUAAAAUUAAUUAGGUGAAAUUAUUAAUUUUGGUUCAUUUUUAAAAUUUUUUAAAUUUGAAAUGGAAGAAUAGGAUUAGAUACCCUAGUAUUAUAAAAUGUUAUUUUGAGAUUAUCUAGAAUUUAGAAAAAACUAAAUGAAGUGGCGGUAUCUUAAGCUUUUUAGAGGAGUUUAUUCUUUAAUUGAUGUGACUCAAGAAUCUUACUUAAUUUGGUUAGGUCAGUUUGUAUAUCGCUAUCAUUUUAUGAUGUUGUUAAGCAAAUUAUAAAGUAAAAGUUUUAUUUGAAAUGUUAGGUCAAAAUGCAGCAAAAGAUUAAGCUUGAAAUAAAUUACAAUGAUUUUUAUUUAUUAUUAGGAAGAAUAUUAUAGGAUUUAAUAGUAAGUUUGAAUUAUAAUGUUAAGCUGAAUUAAGCUCUAGGAUAUGCACAUAUCGCCCGUCACUCUCAUAUAGGAGAUAAGUCGUAACAAAGUAAAGGUACCGGAAGGUGUUUUU
rnacentral:ncRNA from 1 species